rnacentral:rRNA from 1 species
GGAGAUGCGGACAAGCCCGGGAAACUGGGACUAAUACGCGAUAGAUGACCUCAUCUGGAAGGAGAGGUCGUCCAAAAGGCGGCGCGAGUAUGCUUCGCGUCAUCCGCUCCAGGAUGGGACUGCGGCCGAUCAGGCUGUUGGCGGGGUAAUGGCCCACCAAACCUGUAACCGGUACGGGCUUUGAGAGAAGGAGCCCGGAGAUGGACACUGAGACAAGGGUCCAGGCCCUACGGGGCGCAUCAGGCGCGAAAACUUCGCAAUGCGCGAAAGCGUGACGAGGCUAGUCCGAGUGCCUUCCGCUGAGGAGGGCUUUUCUCGGCUGCAAAUAGGCCGGGGAAUAAGGGGAGGGCAAGUCUGGUGUCAGCCGCCGCGGUAAUACCAGCUCCUCGAGUGGUCGGGACGAUUAUUGGGCCUAAAGCACCCGUAGCCGGUUCUGUAAGUCCUCUGUUAAAUCCAGCCGCUCAACGGCUGGCGUGCAGGGGAUACUGCAGGACUAUGAGGCGGGAGAGGCGGACGGUACUCCGCGUGUAGGGGUAAAAUCCUUUGAUCCGCGGAAGACCACCAGUGGCGAAGGCGGUCCGCCAGAACGCGCUCGACGGUGAGGGGUGAAAGCUGGGGGAGCGAACCGGAUUAGAUACCCGGGUAGUCCCAGCCGUAAACGAUGCGAGCUAGAUGAUUCGAUCGCAGUUCGCGAUCGAAGUGUCGCAGGGAAGCCGUUAAGCUCGCCGCCUGGGGAGUACGGUCGCAAGGCUGAAACUUAAAGGAAUUGGCGGGGGAGCA